GACGAACGCUGGCGGCGUGCUUAACACAUGCAAGUCGAACGGAAAGGCUCCAGCUUGCUGGAGUACUCGAGUGGCGAACGGGUGAGUAACACGUGGGUAAUCUGCCCUGCACUCUGGGAUAAGCCUGGGAAACUGGGUCUAAUACUGGAUAUGACCUUUCUCCUUAUGGGGUUUGGUGGAAAGUUUUUAGGUGUAGGAUGAGCCCGCGGCCUAUCAGCUUGUUGGUGGGGUGAUGGCCUACCAAGGCGACGACGGGUAGCCGGCCUGAGAGGGUGAUCGGCCACAUUGGGACUGAGAUACGGCCCAGACUCCUACGGGAGGCAGCAGUGGGGAAUAUUGCACAAUGGGCGGAAGCCUGAUGCAGCGACGCCGCGUGAGGGAUGACGGCCUUCGGGUUGUAAACCUCUUUCAGCAGGGACGAAGCGUAAGUGACGGUACCUGCAGAAGAAGCACCGGCUAACUACGUG
rnacentral:rRNA from 1 species